GCCCAAGAGAUCGGGAUAACACCUGGAAACAGAUGCUAAUACCGGAUAACAACAGAUGAUGCCUAUCAACUGUUUAAAAGAUGGUUCUGCUAUCACUNUUGGAUGGACCUGCGGUGCAUUAGCUAGUUGGUAGGGUAACGGCCUACCAAGGCGAUGAUGCAUAGCCGAGUUGAGAGACUGAUCGGCCACAUUGGGACUGAGACACGGCCCAAACUCCUACGGGAGGCAGCAGCC
rnacentral:rRNA from 1 species